AUUGAACGCUGGCGGCAGGCUUAACACAUGCAAGUCGAGCGGAGAUGAGGUGCUUGCACCUUAUCUUAGCGGCGGACGGGUGAGUAAUGCUUAGGAAUCUGCCUAUUAGUGGGGGACAACAUUCCGAAAGGAAUGCUAAUACCGCAUACGCCCUACGGGGGAAAGCAGGGGAUCUUCGGACCUUGCGCUAAUAGAUGAGCCUAAGUCGGAUUAGCUAGUUGGUGGGGUAAAGGCCUACCAAGGCGACGAUCUGUAGCGGGUCUGAGAGGAUGAUCCGCGACACUGGGACUGGAAGACGGCCGAGACUACUACGGGAGGCAGCAGUGGGGAAUAUUGGACAAUGGGUGGAAGCCUGAUCCAGCCAUGCCGCGUGUGUGAAGAAGGCCUUUUGGUUGUAAAGCACUUUAAGCGAGGAGGAGGCUACCUGGAUUAAUACUCUAGGAUAGUGGACGUUACUCGCAGAAUAAGCACCGGCUAACUCUGUGCCAGCCGCCGCGGUAAGAC
rnacentral:rRNA from 1 species